GAUGAAGAACGUAGCGAAAUGCGAUAAGUAAUGUGAAUUGCAGAAUUCAGUGAAUCAUCGAAUCUUUGAACGCACAUUGCGCCCAUUAGUAUUCUAGUGGGCAUGCCUGUUCGAGCGUCAUUUCAACCCUCAAGCUCUGCUUGGUGUUGGGGCUUCUGCAGCUGCGGCUGCAGGCCCUGAAAAUCAGUGGCGGGCUCGCUAUCACACCGAGUGCAGUAGUUUACUCUUCGCUCAGGACGUGUAGCGGGUUCCGGCCGUGAAACCCCCCAAUUUUCAAGGUUGACCUCGGAUCAGGUAGGAAUACCCGCUGAACUUAAGCAUAUCAAUAAGCGGAGGA
rnacentral:misc_RNA from 1 species